AAAUAGUAGUAUGAGCACAGCAACAACAGCUCGGCCCGGAGGAACCUGUGCCGGAUGAUGUGUGUGCUGUGUCGUUUGGAGAUUUGUCAUUUGUCGAACUACGUACAAACCGAUCGAGCUUUUCUUGCUUGUGUUUAUGUAUUCAGACUGUGUAUGUUUCGUCAAAUCAUCAUCUGAAACUGUAAUAAACCGAUGUACGCUCUCCGAUCCAUCUUGUUGUUCAGUUGAACGAGCUAGCUCUGGACUGGAUACUAUGUACUUUCUCCGUUUCAAAUUAUAAGUUGUUUUGGUU